AUGAACGCUGGCGGCGUGCCUAACACAUGCAAGUCGAACGGAGAAUAUACGCUUCAGAAGCUUCGGCAGAUGAUUGUAUAUUCUUAGUGGCGGACGGGUGAGUAACGCGUGGGUAACCUGCCCUAUACCGGGGGAUAGCAGUUGGAAACGACUGAUAAUACCGCAUAAGCGCACAGUACCGCAUGGUAGAGUGUGAAAAACUCCGGUGGUAUAGGAUGGGCCCGCGUCAGAUUAGCUAGUUGGUAAGGUAAAGGCUUACCAAGGCGACGAUCUGUAGCCGGACUGAGAGGUCGGACGGCCACAUUGGGACUGAGACACGGCCCAGACUCCUACGGGAGGCAGCAGUGGGGGAUAUUGCACAAUGGAGGAAACUCUGAUGCAGCGACGCCGCGUGAGUGAAGAAGUAUUUCGGUAUGUAAAGCUCUAUCAGCAGGGAAGAAAGGCUCGAAAGAGAGAUGACGGUACCUGACUAAGAAGCCCCGGCUAACUACGUGCCAGCCGCGGC
rnacentral:rRNA from 1 species